rnacentral:rRNA from 1 species
AUGGUGAGCACGAGCACCCACACGUCGGUGCAGCGGCGGCGGAGGCAAUGGACGCUGGCGCUGGUGACGGUGGCGUCGCUGCUGGAGCGCGCAGACGAGGCGCUACUGCCGGCCGUUUACAGGGAGGUGGGCGCCGAGCUGGGCGCGUCCCCGGCCGCGCUGGGCUCCCUCACGCUGUGCCGCGCGCUCGUCCAGGCCGUGUGCUACCCGCUCGCGGCGUGCGCCGCGGCGCGCCACGACCGCGCGCGCGUCGUGGCUGCGGGCGCCUUCCUCUGGGCCGUCCCCACCAUGCUCGUCGGCGUCUCUGGCACUUUUGUCCAGGUCAGCAGCCUCCGCCUCAUGGCAUGCCUACUACUUGAAUACAUACUUGUGACGGUGCCAGCUAGAGCUAAAAAUGGGACACACGACUACUUUGUACAGAUGGCGAUCGCGAGAGGGUUUAACGGCGUCGGCCUGGCGCUGGUGGUGCCGGCGAUGAACUCCCUGGCGGCCGACUACAGCGACGACACGACGCGCGGCUCGGCGUUCGGGUGGCUGGGGAUGGCGAGCCGCGUGGGCGCCAUGAUGGGGGGCACACUCGGUGUGCUGCUCGCGCCCACGACCUUCCUCGGCGUCCACGGCUGGCGCCUGGCAUUCCACAUCCUCGCGCUUCUCAGUUUCGCGCUCGCCGUCUCGACGUGGUUCCUCGCCUCGGACCCCCGUCCGCCCAGCGCGUCGGAGAAGAGCACCGCAUCGGUGGCCAGGGAACUCCUCGGGGAGGCCAAGGACGUGGUGCGAUUGCCGACGUUCCAGAUCCUGGUGGCGCAGGGGGUAGCCGGGUCGGUGCCGUGGACGGCGCUCACCUUCGCCGCCAUGUGGCUGGAGCUCGUGGGGUUCACGCACUGGGAGACCAGCGUCAUCAUCAACCUCAACCAGCUGACCGGGGCGCUCGGCUCGCUGUUCGCCGGGCUCAUCGGGGACCCCAUGGCCCGGCGGUUCCCGAACGCCGGCAGGGUCGCGCUGGCACAGGUGAGCACGGCGUCGACCGUCCCGGUGGCCGCCGUCCUGCUGCUGGCACUGCCCAUAGACCCCUCGGCCGGGGCCGCGUACGCCGCCGCCUUCGCCGUCCUGGGCUUCGUCAUGCCCUGGUGCCCCCCGGCCACCAACAACCCUAUACUGGCGGAGAUCGUGCCGCAGAAGGCGAGGACGACGGUGUACGCGCUGGACAGGUUCUUCGAGACGAUCUUUUCGUCGUUCGCGCCGGCCGUCGUGGGCAUCCUGGCGGAGCGGGUCUUCGGAUACAAGCCGGCGUCCAGCGCCACCGGUAUGGCUGAACGGGAGAACGCCGCCGCGCUGGCGAAGGCUGUCUUCGCGGAGAUUGCCGUGCCGAUGGCCAUCUGCUGCAGCAUCUACUCCUUGCUCUACUGCACGUACCCAGCGGACAGAGAGCGCGCGCAGAAGGCGGCUCUGGUUGCGCCAGAAGAUCAGGACUGUGAAAAUGCUAAUUCUAGUACUGCUACUGGGGUAGAUGGCUUAAAUCAGGCAUUGCUAGCCAGAAAUGACUAG